CGGGACGUGGCGCAGCCUGGUAGCGCAUCUGCUUUGGGAGCAGAGGGUCGCUGGUUCGAAUCCAGUCGUCCCGACCA
rnacentral:tRNA from 3 species